UAGCACCUAUUUGCAUGGUCACUGAAGUUAAGCAACUUUGAGUCUGGUCAGUACCUAGAUGGGUGACCACUUGGGAAUAUCAGGUGCUGUAAG